rnacentral:lncRNA from 1 species
CCCCCCCCCCCAAGAAUCCUCUAUUAAUCCCGUCAAAGUUCUGCACUCGAGGUCGUCGGUGUCCGGUCUGUCGAGUUCGUCAACUGUAGCUUUGGCCUGGAGUCUUUUCUUUUCAUUGCUUCAAAAACACAGUGCAACUAUAAAGGUUCAAUUCUAAACUUUAUUUGCUCUUUGAUUUCCAGAUCUGUUCCUCUUGAUAUUAUGAAUGGACUAUUUGUUUGUUUGUUCCUUACUUUUCAUUCUGAAUUGAAAUUGUCUCUGUUUGAUUAGUACAUCAUUUAGUUACGUAUUUCUUUGGUUAAAAGUAGAUUUUAAGUUGUUUAUCUUGGUCAAUCGUUUAGGAAAGGUCCAUUAAGCUCAAUUUGAUCCAGGUUGUGUAGUGUUAGGUGGAAUCUAGUUACAAAAAGUGAUUGGAUGGUUAUUUCAUUAAUUAAGUUUAAUCAAAAGGGUUGUAGGAUUGGAAAUUGAAAGAAAGCAGAACUGGGUUUAAUUGCUCGUGAUUGCUGCAUUUCUAUAAUUUUAUAUUGAAUUGUUCUUUUGGUGAUGCUACUGGAUUGAGAAUGUAGUUGUAUAGGUUUUGAAUUUGUUUUAUUAAAAAAAUCGAAUUUGAUCUAAAUAGCAGAUUGGAAAUGUUUUUUUUUUAUAGUAAUGUGAGCUUUGGAUUGUUUUUGUACUUUACUUUUGCUUCUCUAGGAGCAUAUUUAAGCUAACCGCACGUGGGUAUGCAAACUUUUAGGCACGUAAAUAAAUCAUCGUGACUAUGAGAACGGUUCCCAUGAUAUGGUCACGAUACGUAAAUCUCAAUUCGGGUGUGCAUUUCAUGUGACCCGAUCAUAAUUUCGAAUAAUAAUAAAAUUAAACAUGUUGUAGAUCGUGGGUACGGUUCCCGUGACGCGAUUCACAAGGUGUACCAAACAAACGAGUGUGCGACAUCGCGACUUGUUCCAACCAAUUCCAUAAAUAAUUAAAAGCGGUUUAAAAGGUUAAAAAUACACAAUAGUUUUAAAGCUUGUGUUAAAUCAGAUAAUUAGGCCAAUUAUUAAUAGUUGAGCGACCGUGCUAAAACCACGGAACCCGAGAAUGCCUAACACCUUCUCCCUGGUUAACAGAAUUCCUUAUCCGGAUUUCUGUAUUUCGCGGAUUGUAAAACGGAGUCAAACUUCCUCGAUUCGAGAUUUUUAAACCGGUGACUUGGGACACCAUAAAUUAUCCCUAGUGGCGACUCUGAAUCUAAAUAUAAAUAAUCCUGUUUCGAUCAACGUCACUUUAAUUAUAAAAACUCCAUAUCCCUUCCAAGAAAAAGAAGGUGUGACAGCCACACACAUCUCAGUUAUGCCCUAAGGGAGCUUACAUAUAUGGUUUAAGAGAAGGACGGGAUAUCAGGGUCUGACUGGGGUUAGAGUAACCCAAAAUGGUAAAUGGAUUGUUUGCUAGUUGACAUUUUCGAAGAAUAUUAAAAAUGUGCUAAUAGAUCUCCUUGUGAGACACACUCUAAAAUAGUGCAGCUAGAUAUGAGUACUACAAAGAUAGGCACUAGAAGCCUUGAAGGGAUACAUAUUACCUUAGUGUGGCUCCCGUCCCUAGUAGAGAAAGAAUGUUAGGUAACCCGAAGAGCCAAUAGAUAUAGCAAUGGGAGCUAAAAGCAAAUAAUGUCUUGUUAAAGUUUUCAAGAUAAAGUGAUAGACAGAAAUAUUAGUUGUUCUAUUUUAGAAGGUGUCAUCGGAAAUUCAGUCUCGCAGAUAUGAUAUCGUGAUCCUUGAGAAAUAUUCAGAUAGGAGUUGGGGUAGUUAAAUGUGCCGUAUAAGUGUUACGAAAAUAAAAGAGAGUGUCACUAGGAAGACAGUCAAAAUAUCAGUUCAGAAGUAACCUUACAAGCACAAGGGCGUGAAGGUAAGUAAUUAUGGAUAAUUACAGGUGAGGAAGGACAUCAAAAAUUCCGUCGAGUAUACGAUGUAGUAAGUUCGCAGCUUUACAAGAGUCAGGGGGUCCUCCCUAAAUUCUAAAAUGAAAGACUAGCUGAGAAAAUAAGGAAGAAAGCUUCAAUCUAAAUAUGGUAACUCGAAGGAGAAAUGGUCAUGUCAAAAAACAAUCUCACUACAACAUUGUAUGCACUCUAUAAGAAAGUGGCACCUACCGUGGCUAAUGAACGGGAAGUAAAGUCAAAAGUAAUAUUCGAGAUGAUAUGAGUUGCACAAAAAUUCCGGAAUGUGUGGGAACUAAGAUAAACUAGGUAUGCACGCAACAAGGGGCAGAAAGACCGGGAAAACUAAUAACUUGCAUUUAAAGAAAGUUGAGAAGGAACGAAAGGGAUUAUUCGAUCAAUGAUCCAGAGUAAGUUACAUUAUGAGCGCACUUAAGAUUUCAGAAUAUUAUCCAUGCAACAUAUAUAUUGACAAUCAUACAACCGUAGAAGACUCCAUUAUAAGUUAAAAGAAAGAACUGAGUCCAGGUCAUAGACAAAGGAUUGAAUUGUUAGAAGAUUGUAUCCUGGAUAUUCCAUAGCGUCCAUGAAAGGCUAAAGCAAUAACUAAUACCAUGAGCCGCAGAUCGGAAGAUAGCUUAAGCCUACAUAAAGGUUGAUCAUAGGGAAGAGGAAACUAAAGAGUUACAUCAACCAAGUAAAUCAGGAGUCUGACUAUUGGACUUAGAAAAUUAUAGAAAUCAUAAUUGAGAACAUUGCAGGAUCACCCUUAAUAUCAGAGAUACAAGAGAGAUAGUACAGUAGCCAUAUUCUAUAAUGUCUCUACGAUAAAUCCAGUUAGAAAUGUACUAGACUCAUAAGAAGUCAGUAUGAAGCUCCCACCGGAUUGUAUAUGUAUCAGAGGUGCAAGUAUUAUAAUAGAGUUUUAGUUAUGGAUGUGAAAUAUACUUAUAUGGAAGGGGGGUCAUGAAAGAGAUAGAAGAUGUGAUGCAAGAUUUUAAGGUAAGUAAGGUAAAGGUGAACAACAUAAGAGACACUCAAAUCCAGAAGGUUGUACAUAGUCCAUACUACGGAUAGAAGGCUAGAAGCGCGGGGAUUCAGUAUCCAGGAAUGAUAGCGGCGGCGUCAGUGGUAUAUCUUCCAGCCUAUGAUUUUUAAGUACCAAGAGAUCUAGUCAAGAAAGUAAAGAAGAGUUAGAGACGAUGUGAUGUCUCGCUUGAUGUUCCAAAAUAUCACAAGGAAAUCUAUGGUGCAAGCAAGUUGAAGGAAGCUUGCGAGUAGGAUAAAUGGAUAUAUGUAUAUCGUAAGCUAAAAUAUGGUAGAGCGAAAAGGUUUUAGGAAGACAUGAGUAAGAAUAAGAAAAGGCGAGUGAGAAGGUGAGUAAAAUAGAUAAACUCCUCAGGAUUAAGCCCAUGAAAACAAUAGAGCUAAUUGUUUCUUUAAGUUACAGAAAGCUCAGUAUGGCCUGAAUGAACUCAAAGGAGUCUAAGACUAGUAGCAUUGAGAAGAGAUAGAAUGUUGUCCUGGUAGAAGAAUGAGGGUGUAAUUGUAAUAGAUAAAGGAUGACCUUUGAGCCUUCGAUUAAGUAAUGAAUUGAAUAAAAAAAGAGGAUUUCAUGAAUUGUAUGGGAUUAAAAUACCCACGUAAGGUGAAUCACAUUGGGAUGCUAUGAAAUGCGGUUAUGAAAGUAUAGUAUCGCCCCCAGGUGAAUCAGGAAAAUCACUUCUAAUAUUCCUCAAUGCAACGUGAGCCCUAGCGAUUAUGUAAGAGGCUUCAAGUUAUCAGUGGUAGAGAUAAAUAUUUAGGUGGAUCAACAAUGGAUGGAUAAAAGUUACAAAGUAUAAGAUGAGAUUAGGCUAUCAGUCUUAAGAUGAACAACAAUGAAGAAGCGUUAAAGGACUUAGAUUUAUACAUGUAGGAUAGCAACGAGAGUAACCUGGAGUUUGGUAGCAGACCUCAGUAACAAUAAAUCAAAGUAAGAGUUAUGGUAUAGUAUGACAUACCUAGAUGCAGUAAAUUCAUACGAAUGGAUAACCGGGUUUAUGAAGUAAGAUAUAGCAAUAUUCGUAAGUUCAACAAAGUACUGAGCGAAGAACUUCAGUAUACCUAUAGAUGCCCAAAGGGACAUCUUGUCAAGCUCUGUAUAUGUUUACAAAGUAAGGCCUAGAAAUUGGAUAAAAGCUGGAGGAAAAAAGAAAGAAGAGUCACUUAGGCGCACUUACAAGGAAAAAGUCGUACAGGCUGUAUGACAGAAGGUAGCAACGGUUACGAGAUUGGAAGAAUUCCGACCACAGUUCAUGGUGUGAGGAAGAGGCCUAAAGGUGGAAAUUCCCUAGACUUUAGAUUUAUUCACAGAACAGUUGCCUAAUGACAAAGACAGUAUUAAAGUCAUUUGUAAGAGCUAUCCAGUUAUGAGACCGAUAAAUGCAUUAGUCAACAUUCGAGGACGAAUGUUCCAAAGGGGGAAAUUGUUACGCCCCGCAGUAUUACGUCGAUGUUAUGCUCUGCAGUAUAUAUUACGAUGAUGUUACCCUCUGCAGUAAUAUAUUACGAUGAUGUUUUGCAGUAUUAAGUUACGACAAUAUUGCACCCAAUAGUAUUACAUUACGGUGAUGUCACGUUUCGCAGUAUUAAGUUACGACUAUGUUGGCACCCUGAAGUAUUGUNNNNNNNNNNNNNNNNNNNNNNNNNAUGGGAUAUGGGAAAUGUUAUGGCAUUAUACAUACACCACCACUCGAUCAGCUGGUAUACGUUGAUGAUUUUGCCCAUAGUGGCCGAUAUGAUAUGAUGGAAUGCCCUCAGAGGCUGAUGAUGUUAUGAAACAUGUACCUAUGCACUACAUGACAUUCAUACGCAUAUGCAUGAUACUAUAAUUAUUUCAUGAUUUACAAAGUUAUUCAAACUUACAAGUUGAGUCAUGUACUCCAUAUUUCUUCCAUGUCUGUUAUGUACUUAUUUAUGUACCUUAUAUACUCGGUAUAUUUUUUGUACUGACGUCCCUUUUGCCUGGGGACGCUGCAUUUCAUGCCCGCGGGUCCCGAUAGAGAGGUCGAGAGUCCUCCAAGUAGGCUAUCAGCUCAGUGGAAGAUGUUGGUGUGCUCUAUUUGCUUCGGAGUUGCUUGUUUGGUUAGUAUGAUUUAGACGUGUAUUGUUUGGUAUGACGGGACUCUGUCCCGACCUUUAUGACAUUUAUUUACUCUUAGAGGCUUGUAAACAUAUUUCGUGUACGUGAAAGAUUGUACAAUCUUGUCGCCCUAUGUUUUGAGUUUAUAAAGGAUCAUGUUGGCCUAUUAGGCUCGUAUGUCACGUGUAUAUGAUGAUGUAAUAAGAAAGAUACAUUAUGUUGGUACUCGGCUGAGUAAGGUACUGGGUGCCCAUCGCGGCCCAUCGGUUUGGGUCGUGACUGGAAUGAUGUUACGCCCCGCAGUAUUACGUGGAUGAUAUGCUCCGAAGUAUUAUAUUAUGACGAUGUUACACUCUA